AUGGUGGCGCCGAUCGCGGUGGCGUCGGCGGGGCUGGGGAUGCUGGCGGGGGUGGCGAUGGCCAACAGGUCCAUGCAGGAGGGAAGGCCCGCGGCGGCGGUGCGGUGGCCGCUGCUGCAGAAGCCGCGAUGCGCCACAUGCAGCGGGACGGGAAGGGUUGAGUGCCUGUGCUCUCGGUGGUCCGACGGGGACGGCUCAGGCUGCCGGACCUGCGCGGGCACCCGGAGGAUGCCUUGCCGGAGCUGCGGUGGGUCCGGGACCGGACGUCGGGCGCCCGUGCGGAUCGCCACCGCCUCCGCCACGCCGCUCCGGCCACGGGCGAGCACGCGGUGA
rnacentral:rRNA from 1 species